rnacentral:rRNA from 1 species
UACGAAGGGGGCUAGCGUUGCUCGGAAUCACUGGGCGUAAAGGGUGCGUAGGCGGGAGGGUAAGUGGUGUAUGAAAUAUCCCAGCUUAACUGGGAGGGGUUAUGCCAGACUGCCUUUCUAGAGGACGGUAGAGGGGGGUGGAAUUCCCGGUGUAGUGGUGAAAUGCGUAGAGAUCGGGAGGAACACCUGUGGCGAAGGCGGCCCCCUGGGCCGGCCCUGACACUGAGACGCGAAGGCGUGGGGAGCGAACGGG